rnacentral:lncRNA from 1 species
CCAGAAAGAUAGUUCCAGGAAAGAUUCAGUUCACGUAAUGCUGGAAGGGAGAAAAUAGAAGAUGGAAUUUCCCCUGCAAACAGUAGUAGAAGACAUUAAAAAAAUAGCUCGAACUUAGGAUAUAUUAAACAAAUUUAAGCACAAACCUGAUGCAAAGUGAAAAAAAGAGAAAGAUUAGAAAUGCGGAUGAAAACGUUAUAGAGUAAUUACUAACUAAAGUAUAUCAAAAUUGAUAAAGAUAAUAAAUAUAUAUCUAUAUAAGUAUUGCGUUAAAAUAUUUAAUAAAUGAAAGAGAAGUUAAGGCAAUAGUUUUGAUUGUUAGCUAUGUGCCCUCAUUUUUUUAAUUGGAGACUUUGCAUUAAUCCUCACGAGAUGCGCUAGGAAAAAAAGAUAAAUCCUAGAAAUUCUCACAAAAAUCAGAAACAUCCGAACAUCAAUCCUAUAACUAUUAGCCAUUGGUCUAUUAUAUUUUCUAAAUAAUUACCCACCACUACCAGUGUGAAAAUAUUCUAAAGUAAACCCCUAAGUCUAUAUCUAAAUUACCCAUCUCUG